GCGGAUGGCCGGAUGGCCGCGGUGCCGGAUCCCAUCCGGUAUCGAGGAAAGUCCGGACUCCACGAGGCAACGGUGCCGGGUAACGCCCGGCCGGGGAAACCCGAGGGAAAGCGCCACAGAGAACAAACCGCCCCUGUCCGCAGGGGUAAGGGUGAAACGGUGGGGUAAGAGCCCACCGCGGGCCUGGCAACAGGGCCGGCACGGCAAGCCCCACCGGGAGCAAUGCCGAAUAGGGACCCCGCGCUCCGGAGCUGAUCCGGGGCAGGGCGGCUUCGGCCCAGGGGUCCGGGUUGGCAGCUGGAGCGCACCGGUAACGGUGCGCGCAGAGGAAUGGUCAUCCAGCCCCGGAUCUUCGGUCCGGGGUGGACAGAAUCCGGCUUACAGGCCGUCCGCGCGU
rnacentral:RNase_P_RNA from 1 species